ACGGAAGGCAGCAGUUGGGAAUAUUGCACAAUGGGGGAAACCCUGAUGCAGCAACGCCGCGUGAGUGAAGAAGUAUUUCGGUAUGUAAAGCUCUAUCAGCAGGGAAGAUAAUGACGGUACCUGACUAAGAAGCACCGGCUAAAUACGUGCCAGCAGCCGCGGUAAUACGUAUGGUGCAAGCGUUAUCCGGAUUUACUGGGUGUAAAGGGUGCGUAGGUGGUAUGGCAAGUCAGAUGUGAAAACUUUGGGCUCAACCCAAAGCCUGCAUUUGAAACUACCAAACUAGAGUGCAGGAGAGGAAAGUGGAAUGCCUAGUGUAGCGGUGAAAUGCGUAGAUAUUAGGAGGAACACCAGUGGCGAAGGCGGCUUUCUGGACUGUUACUGACACUGAGGCACGAAAGCGUGGGGAGCAAACAGGAUUAGAUACCCUGGUA
rnacentral:rRNA from 1 species